AUCAUCGCGUGCUCGGAGCAGGUUUUACUCCCAUUCAACGGCCUCCCGCAUAGCUUCCAGCACCUCCCCGAGGACGGUGGUUGUGGCACAGUCGCCUCCACCGAUGACUGGCUCCUCGUCGGCCUCGGCACGGAGCAUGAGUUCGAGAACAUGACCAAGUGGGUCUACCGCGACUACGUCCUGCACAACCCUUUCUCCAACACCAUCGUUCCGCUUACCGUGCUAGACAACGUCAUCACCAACAUCGGGACCUGCUUGAUCUACAAAUUCCUCAUGCGCUCCACGGUCGAUGACUUCAUCGUCGUCGUGACGGACAACAUCAACUAUCCCAUCAUCGUGUUUCAGCAGGGGAAAGGUGCCUGGGUGCCACCCCCUGAUGCAGCUCCCUACAUUUACAUCAUCGACGUCGCGUUUCUUGGAGACACGCUCUAUGCCAUCACCAAGGCCGAGGACCUUAUCCCUCUCAAUCUUGCAUUGGAUUGUGAUGGCACUCCUGUGGUGACCAUUGGUAAGCGUGUUAUCAGGCAACCACCAGGUUAUGAUGAUUAUGAUGCGUGGAGCGCUUCUUCUGAUGAUGAUCAUCAUCAUGAUCAUGAUUGGGGACAUGACGUAGCUUAUGAUGAUGAUGAUGAUUCAGAAGAGGUGGAGAAUGAGGAGGUACCUGCCGCCGACGACAAUGAUGAUGUAGAAGAGGAAGAAAAUGAGGGGGUAGUUGAUGACGACGAUGAUGAUGCAGGAGAGGAGGACAACGAGGAGGUGGUUGACGACGACAAUAAUGAUGCAGAAGAGGGGGAGAAUGAGAAGGUAGCCAACGAUGACAAUAGAAAUUUAGAGGAGGAGCAAGUAGCUCUCGACCAGGCACCCGAAGAAGAAGAUGAUGGCAGCCAUCCUUUUAGUUACUCUGGUGAAGAAACCGAUGGGAAAAUCAUUAUUUCCCGACACCUCAUCGUGUCGUUUGGGAAACUGCUUCUGGUGAGGCGACAUGAGAAACCAACUUACGAUUAUUUGGCAUCUACUCAUCGCGUGGACGUCUUGGAGGCAGAUGCCAACACAGGCGCAUGGGUGCCAUUGCCUGUUGGCACAGGGCUUGGAGGUGGCAGGGCACUCUUCAUUAGCAUGAACUUUUCCAAGCUUGUUUCUGCACCUCGUGGUGAGGUCGAGGAGGAUGUCGUAUAUGAUAUUCACACUGGCGAGGUGUUCGACAUGAAGUCUCAUACUUCCAGGCAAGGACGUUUCUGUAGAUGUUUCCAGGCCAUAGCUUGGCUC
rnacentral:rRNA from 1 species